AGAUGGGCAUUUGGCGCUGAAACAAGAACAGGAAGACCAUGAACUUUGGGGCAGCAGGAGGAGUUAAUGCUAAUUCAAAGAAGCCAACAGUGCUGUCUUGGGGAUAAAGAGGGGUGCUAACAACAUCCCCAGCUGUGGGAUGGAGCCCAGGUGAAACUGGCCUUCCUUUUCCUGGAGACAUGACCUGGGCACUGUUUGGCAGUGGGUGGCAGUUAAUGAUGACAGCUUUAUGAGCUUAUCCAUAAUGAUGAGGCUUAGCUCCUGAACAGGAGGGACUUUUAAAGGCUAUUAAACCAGCUGUGCGGUACUUUCUGUUUCACAAGAACAGCAGUGGCAACAUCUGUGCCAAUUUUCAAUGUGAGGAUGUGGAUGUGGCCAUGCAUGUAUGUGUGUGCAAAAACUGGGGGGAUUGCAGUCCACUAAAGCUCUCCCAGCUUCCCAAGGCUAUUUUCUGGUUUCAGGUCUGAUCUGAGGAGGAAGGGAGCUGGAAAUCCGAUGUCCUUUGAAAGAGGAGCAUAACUCCCACUGGCCUUGUCCAUGGAGAUGGGGACACUGAGAUGACUGAGCACUGUUAUAACUCUGGGUGCUCCCCAUUUGAGUGUCCUGGCUGCUUGUUCCACCCUGUAGACAGUGACCUGGAGGGGUGCAGAGAAAUGGGAGAAGAGGAAGGACACCUUCUGAGGAGCAUCAUUUCAGAUCCAUGGGCUGUGCACCCAGUGUGUUUCUGAGGAGCUUCAUUCUCACCUACAGGUCAUAUUCAGGCACACAUAUCAUCCCUCCACUGCCCAGAGACCGUGCCAGAUGCCACCAGCUCCACCAAAGUGAAGGAGAGCCACUGGACUGCAGUGAACUUCCCCACAGCAGCAGGUGAGGAUGGAGGAACAACACUGUUGAAAAGGCCUGUGGACAUCCUGAGACUGGCAUGUCUGCAAAUUGGAGCAAGGAGACCUCCAAGUUGGAAUGGUUUCAUACAGGGAAUGGUUUGAAGUUCCUAUACCAGAAGUUUGGCAGAG
rnacentral:lncRNA from 1 species